ncrna:Branchiostoma belcheri (Belcher's lancelet) microRNA bbe-mir-375 precursor
GAUAGGCCGAGCCCGGCGUGCAAAGCUGUGUACAACAUGAAUGUUUUGUUCGUUCGGCUCGCGUUAUCU